GACGAACGCUGGCGGCGUGCUUAGCACAUGCAAGUCGAACGGUGAAGGGACCAGCUUGCUGGUUCUGGAUGAGUGGCGAACGGGUGAGUAACACGUGAGUAACCUGCCCCCUUCUUCUGGAUAACCGCAUGAAAGUGUGGCUAAUACGGGAUAUUCUGGGUCUGUCGCAUGGCGGGCCCGGGAAAGAUAUUGCUUCGGUGGGGGAUGGGCUCGCGGCCUAUCAGCUUGUUGGUGGGGUGAUGGCCUACCAAGGCGGUGACGGGUAGCCGGCCUGAGAGGGGGGACGGUCACACUGGGACUGAGACACGGCCCAGACUCCUACGGGAGGCAGCAGUGGGGAAUAUUGCACAAUGGGCGCAAGCCUGAUGCAGCGACGCCGCGUGAGGGAUGGAGGCCUUCGGGUUGUAAACCUCUUUCGCCAGUGAAGCAGGCCUGCUCCUUGUGGGUGGGUUGACGGUAGCUGGAGAAGAAGCGCCGGCUAACUACGUG
rnacentral:rRNA from 1 species